UCGAGAAUUUUUCUCAAUGGGGGAAACCCUGAAGGAGCGACGCCGCGUGAAGGAAGAAGGUCUUCGGAUCGUAAACUUCUGUCAUUUGGGAGCAAUGAGUAAGGGGAGUAACUGCCCAGUACUUUGAUAGUACCAGAAGAGGAAGGGACGGCUAACUCUGUGCCAGCAGCCGCGGUAAUACAGAGGUCCCGAGCGUUGUUCGGAUUCAUUGGGCGUAAAGGGUGCGUAGGCGGCGAGGUAAGUCAGGUGUGAAAGCUUGGGGCUCAACCCCAAAAGAGCACUUGAUACUGCUUUGCUACGAGGACUGGAGAGGAGAGUGGAAUUCACGGUGUAGCAGUGAAAUGCGUAGAGAUCGUGAGGAAGGCCAGUGGCGAAGGCGGCUCUCUGGACAGGACCUGACGCUGAGGCACGAAAGCUAGGGGAGCAAACGGGAUUAGAUACCCCGGUAGUCC
rnacentral:rRNA from 1 species